rnacentral:rRNA from 1 species
AGGCGAACGGCUGAGUAACACGUGGGCAACCUGCCCUUUGCACUGGGAUAGCCUCGGGAAACCGAGGCUAAUACCGGAUACUCCAUAUUUGUCGCAUGGCGAAUAUGGGAAAGCUCCGGCGGCAAAGGAUGGGCCCGCGGCCUGUUAGCUAGUUGGUGGGGUAGUGGCCUACCAAGGCAAUGAUGGGUAGCCGGGUUGAGAGACCGACCGGCCAGAUUGGGACUGAGACACGGCCCAGACUCCUACGGGAGGCAGCAGGA